CAAAGUAUAGCUUAAUUAAAGCAUCUCGCUUACACCGAGAACAUGUCUGUUCAACCCAGGUUACUUUGA
rnacentral:tRNA from 1 species